AAAGUCGUAACAAGGUAACCGUAGGUGAACCUGCGGUUGGAUCAUUAACAAAUCUAUUAGGCCCCCGAACGCUUCCCUUACCGGGAGCUGCCGGGGAAAACCUGAACAUUUGUGUGCACCAUAUCUGUCUUUGGCAGUUCGAGUGUCCUGGGUUUGCGUAACUGCCCCGGGUACCUACCAGAGCAGUCCUCUGUGAUUGCCGAGGUUGGGCUGCCGCCUUUUUAGAACAAACCCUGUCGUAUUCUUUAAUGCCUGAACUUUUUUUGAUCUUAAGUGAUUGAAAUUUAAAUACAACUUUUGACAACGGAUCUCUUGGCUCUC
rnacentral:misc_RNA from 1 species